rnacentral:rRNA from 1 species
GACGAACGCUGGCGGCGUGCCUAAUACAUGCAAGUCGAGCGCGGGAAGCAAGCGGAUCCCCUUCGGGGGUGACGCUUGUGGAACGAGCGGCGGACGGGUGAGUAACACGUGGGCAACCUGCCUGUAAGACUGGGAUAACCCCGGGAAACCGGGGCUAAUACCGGAUAAYACCGGACUCCACAUGGAGUCCRGUUGAAAGAUGGCUUCUYGCUAUCACUUACAGAUGGGCCCGCGGCGCAUUAGCUAGUUGGUGAGGUAACGGCUCACCAAGGCGACGAUGCGUAGCCGACCUGAGAGGGUGAUCGGCCACACUGGGACUGAGACACGGCCCAGACUCCUACGGGAGGCAGCAGUAGGGAAUCUUCCGCAAUGGACGAAAGUCUGACGGAGCAACGCCGCGUGAACGAUGAAGGUCUUCGGAUCGUAAAGUUCUGUUGUCAGGGAAGAACAAGUACCGUGCGAAUAGAGC